AGCACUGCAAACAGAAGAUAACGAAUGUUGAUUUAACCACUGCGACAGAGUAGGCAGCAAAUGACACAAGCUGGACUCGACAGCCAGGCCAUCCUCUGAGAAGGGACGAGACGAUUACUCAGACACUCUGAGCCUCUCAGGAGACAAAGAGCUGAGGAUGAUCGGAUUGAAACAUGGUUGAGAAGGACUGCCACACUUGCAAGAUCAGGUGUUAUUUAUUUAUUUGACACACAGAGAGUGAUAGCGAAGAGGAAACACAAGCCGGGGAAGUGAUAGAGGGAGAAGCAGGCCUCCCACUGAACAGGGAGCCCGAUGCAGGGCUCGAGUCCAGGAGCUUGGAAUCAUGACCUGAGCUGAAGGCAGAUGCUUAAUGACUGAGCCACCCAGGUGCCCCCUCUUACUGCUUUCUUGUGCUCCCCAGCAGUCAGCAGGACCACAUCAUCCUCUCGGAUUUCCAUUAGUCUGAUUAGUCCCGAUCUUUGCUCCUCCAGUAUGGACUGAGCAACUGGAGAAUUCCAGUUUCUAUUGGCUUCUGGGAAUACAGAAAAUUUCUUGCUCCCAGCAGGACAUGAGAUGAUCUUCACUCCCUCCCUCAACCCCUUCAAAAUGACACUAGAGGAAUUACAGAUGUCAUCACCAUAAUCAGAAACAAAAGGGAAUAAAAGGUGGGGAGACACUGGCAAAGAGGUUUCUGCAAAUCUGUGGCAGGCUGCAAAUGAACGGAAUAGGAACAAUUAUAGCAGCAAGAAGCAGGGAGCUCUGGCCUGGAGAAAAUGGAGUCGUCUCAGCACAGAAGGGAUGAAUUUUAUCCUGCAGAAGCCCAGAGGGUAGGCUCAGGACUCCGAUGAAACUUUGGAUUCUCAGGUUAGGGGCCAGUGGCUCUGCUGUUCCCCCUAAACUGAACAUACCCAUUCACAAAGCCCCUCCAAGGACCCUGUAUUCCUAACCACCUAAAAAAAAUUUUUUUUUCCUUUAAGUAAGCUCUACACCCAAUGUGGAGCUUGUACUCAGGAACCCUGAGAUCAACAGAUUAAGAGAGAUCAAGAGUUGAAUGCUCUACCAAGUGAACCAGCCAGCUUUUUAAAUCUGGAAGGUGCUGCCAUUCUGGAAGGUGGAGGGAGGACGUUCUGGGAGGUGGGGGGAGGACAUUCCGGGAAGUAGGGGAGGACGGGUGAAACAGGUGAUGGGGGUAAAGGCGUGCACGUGUGACGAGCACUGGGUAUUGUAAGGAAAUGCCAACUCAUUAAAUUGUAAACCUGAAACUAUUAUUAUAUACUGUAUGCUAACUGACUGGAAAUCAAGAAAGAACUUAAAAAAAACCCCAAAACCCACUCAUUCUAAAUAUAUACAAUCAACAGUCACCAUACAUUAAAGAAAUGCUGCAGUAUUUAAAAAAAAAAAGGACGCAAGAGGAAAGAGGUAGUUUAGUUUAGGGACUGAAUCCUCAAAGGCCCUCAAAAAUAUAUUCUAUCAAUAAAACUAGAAUAAAAUAUGGAAGAAAAAAAAAGAAACAGCUACUGGGACUGAAACAUGAUUGCUAAAAUGAAUCCAACAGAAGAGUUGAAGAAAUCUCUCAGAAUAAAAAGGAAAUGGUGGGAAAGAACACAGGGAAAAAAAAAGAGAGAGACAUACUAGUUAAGUUACAAGAGGAGGUCCAAAUAUGGCUAAAAGAAAUUCCAAAAAAAAGAGACUAGAGGGAAUGAUGAAGUCAAAGCAAUCAGUAAUAGAACAAUUUUCCACAAAUGAAAGACAUGAGCCAUCAAUAUUGAAACAGCCCUUAUAGGGUACAACACAUGAAUGCAAAACGAUCCAAAGGUAUGCAAAUUGAAAUUCUGGAACAUUAAAGAUCAGGAGGCUGAAUGCUUCCAAAGGAAAACAAGCAGCUUUGCUGUGAAGGAACAUAUUCGUGUCAGCAUCAGGCUUCUCAUCAGUAAUAGCAGGUACAACAGAAAAAAAGCAAUGUUUUCGGCAAGCUAAGGCUGUGCUGCCUAAUACAGUAGCCACCACUCACACAUACCUAUUUAACUGAAAUGAAAUAAAAUAAAAAAUUCACCUCCUCAGGUAAUCUAGCUUCAUUUCAAGCACUGGAUGGCUGCCCUGGCUAGGGGCUACCAUAUAGGAUGACGCAGAAGCAAAAUAUUUCCACCAACAAGGAAGGUUCUGUUGGACAGAGUGAGGGCUCUUGUGAAAGAGAAAGUGGGGGUAAGGGCAGAGGAAAGAAACUUCAAACCUACUCCCCAUUAAGUGUGGAGCCCGAUGCAGGAAUCGAUCCUAUGACCCAGGAGAUCAUGACCUGAGCAGAAACCAAGAGUUGGAGGCUCAAAUAACUGAGCUUCUCAGGUGCCCUGGGCAGCACUGUUCUAAAGGGAUGUGACUGCAAUUCUGAAUUUUAUACUAAGCCAAAUUAGUCAUCAAGAGUGAGGUUUUCAACAUAAAGACAUUUUUAGGCAAAGCAAGUGUAUCUCUUGUGUGCUUUCUUAGGAAGUUACUUGAGGAUCUACUCCAACACAAAUAAGAAAGAGGAAGAUCUGGGAUCCAGGGAGAGUGGCUUCAACUCAAAAGAGAAAUGAAGGAAAGGUCCACAAAGACGGCUGUGCAGGAGGUACACAAUAACUAGGUGAGCCCUGUGUGUGGAAGCUUUGUCGCUUAUGCAGAAGUUAACAGAUCAAGUUUAAAAUGGAUAAGUAAAAACAAACAUAAACAAACAAAAACACCAGUAUGCAGAUAUAUUUCUAAAAAACGGAGACAUUCUGGCUGGUGUGGAACUGGAGAGAUGUGAGCUAGAACACACACUUAUGCAUCUCAUUAAUCCUUUACUACUUGUGUGUGUGUGUGUUUGUUUUUGAAGAUUGUACUUAUUUGUCAGAGAGAAGGCGAGAGCAUGUGCAAAAGCGGGCAGAGUGGCAGGCAGAGGGAGAAGCAGGCUCCCCGGACAGCAAGGAUCCCAGGACCCUGGGAUCAUAACCUGAGCCAAAGGCAGACACUUAAUGGACUAAGUCACCCAGGCAUCCUACUACUUGUGUUUUGAACUCUGUGCAUGUGAUAUAUUGCUAAAAAUUCAGACACAUAUUUAAAAAAAAAAUCAAGUAAAAAUAAUACAUUAAAAAAACAGAAGUGUUACCCAUUUCUUCUAUAAAAAUCAGUUAAUGAGAAAUGGCAAAAAGAGGAAAAAAAAGAACAUAUAGUAAGAAUUUCAUGAACUGGGGCGCCUGGGUGGCUCAGUGGGUUAAGCCGCUGCCUUCAGCUCAGGUCAUGAUCCCAGGGUCCUGGGAUCGAGCGCCGCAUCGGGCUCUCUGCUCAGCAGGGAGCCUGCUUCUCUCUCUCUCUGCCUGCCUCUCAGUCUGCUUGUGAUCUCUCUCUGUAAAAUGAAUAAAUAAAAAAAUCUUAAAAAAAAAAAAAAAGAAUUCAUGAACUGAAGGUUACUGAAGUUUACCUUCUGGCUUAUUUCCCAGUCCUGUCAUUCCUAAGUGCAGACUUCAAAUACCAGCAAAAUAAAAGUAAAGAAACAAAAUUGGAAGAUCUAGAGUUGCCACUUCUGAAUUUUAUCAAAGGCAUAAAACAAACUUAAAACAUUAUCUGCUAUUAGCAUCAUUUCAUAAAAGAAUAUACAUUUUUACAAUAAAGAACAAGGAGAAGUAGAGGAUAAUUCUUUAAAUUCAUUUAUGAAAAGCUUUUUAUAUUGCUCUGACUUUUCUCACUUUGCCUUGACCCAUUUUGGAAACCAUUAUCUUAAUCUUUCUUUCUUUCUUGUUGAAAAUCCCUUUGAGCCUGAGGUAUGAUGCUUGGUUGUGGUGGUGGUAGAGGUGGGUGGUCCAUUUUCAAUACACAAAUACUGUGUUUUUACAUGGUUAUGAUCAGAGUUUAUAUAAAAUUCUGUAUUUUCCUUUUCUUACAAAUCAUUACAAUAUGAACAUAUUCCCCAUACUACAAACUUUUUGGAGACAAAGUCUUAAAAAAGGAACUUUAAUCAUAUCAACUCCUUUGAUUAUACCUUAAUUUAAUUAUUCCCAUAUAAUUUCAUCUUACUCCUAUUGUAAAGGAUACUAUAAUAAGCAUACUCUCUUCAGAUUUAGAAUGUAUUCUACAAAGUAUGUCACAGAAAAUUAAUGACUCAGAGGGCAUGACUAUUUUUAAAGUUACUGGUUCUGAGAAGGCUGAGACAAUUUCCAGGUCCAGUGACGAGAUAAGAAAGGCCCGUUUGCCACGCCCACUCCUCGGUAGUUCAGUUCCUCCACUCACCAAGCCAACAACACAAAAUGUGUCUGUCAGAGGUGGAUUCAGAAUUUUAAAAAUUCUGAAUUUUAAAAUUUUAAAUUAGAAAAAAAUUUUUUUUAAUUUAAAAAAUUUUAAAAAGGGUACAGGAAGAACAAUGAAUACAGGCUUCCUUCAAACCUUGGGCAAAUGGGGCUCUAAUCUAAUCCUAACUGGAUUAAAACUCCACACUUCUUUUAUUUAUUUUUUAAAAUAUUUUUACUUAUUGAGAGAGAGAAUGACAGAGUGUGAGAGCGAGAGAGAGCACCAGUGGAUGGAGAAGCAGAGGGAGAAGCAGAAUCCCCUCUGACCAGGGAGCCUGACGUGAGGCCUGAUCACGACCUGAGCUGAAGGCAGAUGCUUAACAGUUUAACCAACUAAGCCACCUAGGUGCCCCUCCACAUUUAUUUUAAAAACUAUGGUUGAGGGAUGCCUGGGUGGCUCAGUAGGUUAAGCUGCUGCCUUUGUCUCGGGUCAUGAUCCCAGGGUCCUAGGAUCAAGUCCCGAAUCGGGUUCCUUGAUCAGCAGGGAGCCUGCUUCUUUCUCCGCUCUGCCUGCCACCCUACUUGCCUGUGUGCUCGCACUCUCUCUCUCUCUCUGUCAAAUAAAUAAACAAAUACAAUCUUAAAACAAAAACAAAAAACUAUGGUUGAAUUUUCACAUUCUGAUCAAUGGUGAAUUCAACUGUCUAAGUAAAAAUCUUAGUCUUGUCCUGGGAUUAGAUGAACCUUAAAAGAAGAAAAGUAGAAGAAUGGUCUGACAUAGUAAGAACUCAAAAUUAGAGAUUAUAUAAAGAGCUCAAACACUUAUUAAAAAUAUGGAAUCCCUAAUAGGGAAAAAACAACUAUUGUAAUUAAUUCCUUACCUGAUUAAAAUGGUCAGCUGCAAAUUUUCUAAUAGAGUCAAUGUCCUUCCUUUUUAAGUAUUUCUGAAAAGACAGUAAACUCAGCUUCAUAAACAUGUCUACAGUAUCAAAUGGGCUACAAAUAUAUUUUGUGUCCACCACAAAAGGAUUUAAUAUAAAAUUUAAUUUCUGCUUCCAAAGGACAACAUUUUAGAGCUUGUACAAGGCUUAUUGCCCCCCCCCCCCCCCCAUGCAGGAAUCAUUGGCAACGGCUGGAAACAUGCUCCACAGAAAAGCCUGCCUAUGGAAUACGCAGGGUUCAUGUUCAAAUCUUUACAACUGAAUUGUGUAAGAAAAAAAUCAUUUUCAGAUCAGAAAGAGGACUCAGAAUUUGCUUAUUUUAGGUCACUUAAAAUUCUUUGUAUCUUACCUUUUUAAAGUUAUCUCAAUGCCUUUGUAACUGAAACACUAGGACUAUCAUCGUAACUAAUAUUCUUGGGGCACUAGACAAGGGAUGGGAGAUACGGAAAGGCAGACAUGAUUAACACUGCCGCACUUCUUAUAAUUGGCUUGGGGAAGACUGGACAUACUCAAAUUGAGGCAAAUAAUACCAUGCAGUAUAUGUUAAACUGAGCUUACCUGAACGUUUUCAUUAUGUCUGGACUAGAGUAUGGACACAAAUUACUUUCCACUAACUAUACGAAGUGAAUAAAAAGUAAUGAGACUGAAUUCCUAUUCCCACUUUGAAUACACUAAUAUGCUCAAGAACACAAAGGAGUCAUCUUUCAAAGAGUAAUUUUAUCCAAAGUACUUCCAGAACCCCUCUUCUCACAUCCUGUUCAAAGCAGGUGUGCUAACCAUGGAAAACAGACGUGUCUCACCUCGGAGUCGGGGUCUGCCUAGCGCAGCCAUUCUUUCUCCUGCCCUCACCUCCCCUUGCUUUGGCUUUUCACAUUUCUACCUCCUCGCCCUCCUGCUGUUAUUAAUGCACCUGAAUGCAACCGAGACCAGAGCCCUCGGAAGGCCCAGAACCAACAUGCAAGGGCGAUCCUGGAGCUGAUAUGGUCUGGGAGCCUUUGGGUAAACUGAGGCUGGAA